GUCUUAAAAGAGGUUGGUUGGGAAACUUUAGAGGAACGAAGAAAAAGAAGAAAACUACAAUUAUUUUAUAAAAUUCAGAAUAAUAAUGCCCCUGAAUAUUUAUGUAACCUUGUGCCCCCUAAAAUUCAAAGUACAACACAAUAUCCCUUGCGAAAUGGACAAGAUAUCAUUUUACCAUUUUGCAGGCUGACUCUAACUUCCCAAUCCUUUAUCCCAUCAACAAUUAAACUUUGGAAUAAUUUGAACAUAGCAGUUCGAAAUGUAGACUCGUUAUCAAAAUUCAAAGUAGAACUAAAAAACUACGACAUUCGAAAUGAGAAUCAAUCUAACUUAAAACAUUAUUUAUAUGGUCCAAGAAAAUUGAACAUAAUAUUAACCCAAUUUAGAUGUUCGGCAUCGUUCUUGAAUUGUGACUUGUUUAGAGCUAACAUUAUAUCUGAUCCAACAUGUAAAUGUGGUUUAGAUAUUGAGGACAUGCACCAUUUUUUCUUUGAUUGUCCUUUCUAUCUAAAUGAAAGGGCUAUUCUGUUUAAUGGUCUCAGCUGGCUUCCCGAAGGCUGCGAUUUGGACUUAACACUACUGGUUUUUGGAAGAGACACUCUUUCCUAUGAUCAAAAUGUGCAAAUUGUUAAACAAGUAUUCAAUUUUAUAAAGAGAUCAAAACGAUUCCUCGUAGUAUAGUAUCAACAUAGGUAAAACACAC
rnacentral:lncRNA from 1 species